rfam:Prevotella bivia DSM 20514 genomic scaffold Prebiscaffold_3, whole genome shotgun sequence.
CCCGCUGUUCCGUCAGCGGUAGCCUACCGACCAAUGCACCUUAAUGUUGUAUUAAGCGGUUGUGACAAAGUACACUUUCCGAAAGGACAAGACAGAACCGUGAGGGAAAGUCAAGUGCGGUUAGUAUCAUACCGUAGAGUGG